rnacentral:rRNA from 1 species
AUACGGAGGGUGCAAGCGUUGUCCGGAUUUAUUGGGUUUAAAGGGUGCGCAGGCGGUGCGUUAAGUCAGUGGUGAAACCUUCCGGCUCAACCGGGAAACUGCCAUUGAUACUGGCGCACUUGAGUACGGACGAGGUAGGCGGAAUUUAUGAUGUAGCGGUGAAAUGCAUAGAUACCAUAAAGAACACCGAUAGCGAAGGCAGCUUACCAGACCGUAACUGACGCUCAGGCACGAAAGCGUGGGGAGCAAACAGGAUUAGAAACCCUAGUAGUCC